GACGAACGCUGGCGGCGUGCCUAAUACAUGCAAGUAGAACGCUGAAGAGAGGAGCUUGCUCUUCUUGGAUGAGUUGCGAACGGGUGAGUAACGCGUAGGUAACCUGCCUUGUAGCGGGGGAUAACUAUUGGAAACGAUAGCUAAUACCGCAUAACAAUGGAUGACACAUGUCAUUUAUUUGAAAGGGGCAAUUGCUCCACUACAAGAUGGACCUGCGUUGUAUUAGCUAGUAGGUGAGGUACUGGCUCACCUAGGCGACGAUACAUAGCCGACCUGAGAGGGUGAUCGGCCACACUGGGACUGAGACACGGCCCGGACUCCCACGGGAGGCAGCAGUAGGGAAUCUUCGGCAAUGGGGGCAACCCUGACCGAGCAACGCCGCGUGAGUGAAGAAGGUUUUCGGAUCGUAAAGCUCGGUUGUAAGUCAAGAACGGGUGUGAGAGUGGAAAGUUCACACUGUGACGGUAGCUUACCAGAAAGGGACGGCUAACUACGUG
rnacentral:rRNA from 1 species